UCUCUUUACAAGACAAAGGAAAGAACAUGUAAAAAGUUAAAAUGGUAUCAGUGCAGGUGGGGUCUGGCCAUUGGGUGGUCCCACAACUUUUGGAUAAGAAUCAAAUCGGAUUAAGUAAAGGCCAGAAGCCACCACCCUAAAUCAGUUACAUGAGGUUGCCAGACAGUAACCGACUUAAGUUCUAGCCUUCCCCAUUAAGAGUUUCCAGAGACAAGGCCAUCCUCCUUCCCCCUGGCACAGAGAGGGAGGCAUCCCCACAGAUGGAGGUUCCCCCGACAAAUGCAAAUGCCUCCCAACAAAGGGCAAGCAAAUCCCACUCCUCAGAGCCUGCUUCUCAUCUGCAGUUUUAAAAUUAACCAGCCUAAAAUCCUCAUCAUUAAGAGUCCAAGAAAUCUUUCUUUCGACUCCUCAGCUCACUGACCCCGCAUCAAUUAGGAUUGCAUUGAAUCUAUAGACGAACGUGGGGAGAAUUCACAUCUUCGCAAUGUUAAGCCCUUCUACUCCAAGAACAUAGUCUAGGCCUCCAUUUAUUUAGUCUUUAAAUUCUCUCUUUAUAUUUUGUAGCAUGCCCGAUAGAGCUCUUGCAUACCUUUGUUAGUUUUACUUCUAGGCUUUGAUUUUUCUGUAUACUUUUGUAAAUGAUUUCAACUCAAAAAAGUGCUUUCCAUUUGUGGCUGAUAUGUAGAAAUAUCAUCGAUUUUUGUAUGUUUUCCUUGAUUCCAGUGAUCUUGUUCAAUUCACCCAUUUCUAACAGAUCUGUAGAGUAUCCACAAAUAAUGACACUUGUAUGUCCUCCUUUCCGGUCCUUAUACCUUUUAUUUGUUUUUUUCACCUUAUUGCCCUGGUGAGGACUUCCCUUACAUUACUGAAAGGAAAUGAUGAAAGCUAGCGAUGCUUAUCUUGUUCUCAAAAGGAACUGGGCUCCAUCUCAAAAGGAAGGCUUUCUUAUGUUUUAUCGUGAAGUAUAAUGUUUGCUGUAGGGUUUUGUAACCACAGCUUAUCAGAUUAAGGAAGUUUCCUUCUACUUCUGUUUACUGAGAGUUUUUAGUGAGUGAAAGCCGGGAAAUUUUACCGAACGCCUUUCUGCAUUUAUUGACAUGGUUGGUGAUUUGUCUUCUUUAUUCCUUUAGUUGCUAACGUGGUAAAUUACGUCGCUUGACCUCCUGGUGUUUAAGCAAUCAUGCGUUCCCAACAUAGACCCAAACUGGUGGUGAUGCGUUCUCUUUUAGCUGUCUUGCUGGAUUUGGUUUUCUCGUAUUUUGUUAAGGAGUUUUGCAUCUCUGCACAUGAGUGAAAUCACCCUCUACUUUUCCUUCAUGAAAUUUCUUUGUCGGGUUUUGUUCUCAAGGGUGUGCUGUCCCCGUUGAAAGUGUUGGACAAUCUUUCCUCUUUUCUGUUCUCUGGAACAGUUUGUGUAAGACUGGCAUUUUUCCUCCAUCAGUGUUUGGAGGAAUUCACAGAGGAAGGCUUCUGGGCCUGGAGUUGUUUACUUUGCUCCAGUGGGACCUCAUCGUUGUUUGAAUUGGCCAUGAUUAUUUAUGAGUGGGGUUGAGCAACUUUUUAUAUGUUGAAACCGCCACUUGGAGUUCUCUUUCUGUCGUCUAAUGAGUCACAUCCUGUGAAUCUUUCUAAUGGAUACUUGGUCUUUGAUAGUAAAUAUUUAAGCAUUUAAGUAUUAAAGCUACUAGCCCCAUAGACUAUUAUGUAUUGAAACUAUUUUUUCCCAAGUUUUUUAUUGGUCUUUUAAGAUGUUUUCCACGCAAAAUUUUAAAUUUUUACGUGUUCGAAUACCUUCAUUUUUUUUCUCUUACGGCCUUUGGAUUUUGUGUCAUGCCUAAAAAGGCCUUUCCCACUCUAAGAAUGUAAAUGAAAUUUCCUCCUGCUUUCUUUACAUAUUUACAUGGCUUCAUUUUUAACUCAAAUCUUUGAUCCAACCGGAAAUUAUUUUGGUGUAACUAGGGAUCCCAUUUUAUUAUUUUCCCAGAUGACUGUCCGCUUUUUCCAAAGCUAAUUGUUAACAAUUCAUCUUUUUUCUUCUGCCUUGAAACGCGUCUUUAGCAGAGACGCAAUUCCCGUAUUUAUUCACAUCUCUUUACGCGCUUUGUGUUCUGGCUGAUUGAUUUCUUAGGUUUAUUCAUAUGCGAUUUCAGCCACUAUACGUUUAUAAUUUGUUUUAAAAUCAGAUGGAUUUGUUUACUUCGUUUUUUUCUCUCUCUUUUUUUUUAAAGAUUGGCACCAGAGCCAACAUCUGUUACCCAUCUUCUUUUUUGUCUUCUUCUUCUCCCCAAAGCCCCCGAGUACACAGUUGUAGGUCCGUCUGGCUCUGCUAUGUGGGACACCACCUCAGCGGUACUGUGUCCGCGCCCAGGAUCAGAACCAGCAAAACCCUGGGCCGCCAAAGCGGAGUGUGAGAACUGAACCACUCGGCCCCGGGGCCGGCCCCUUUUUUUCUCUUAUAAAGGCACCAGUGCAACUCAAUAAGGAAAAUAAAGGUCUUUAUCAUAAAUGAUGCUGGAACAAUUGCCAGGCCUUCCUUGCAGUACCAGUGUCGGCUCCACUAGGGUAAGCAGGGCACAUUCUGGUUUUUGUUUGUUUGUUUGUUUUUUUAAGAUGUUUUAUUUUUCCUUUUUUUCCCCAAAGCCCCCGGUACAUAGUUGUAUAUUCUUAAUUGUGGCAUGUGGGAUGCUGCCUCAGCAUGGCCUGACAAGUGGUGCCAUGUCCGUGCCCAGGAUCGAACUGGCGAAACCCUGGGCAGCCUGCAGCAGAGCACGUGAACUUAACCACUUGGCCACAGGGCCGACCCCGAGGACAUGUUCUGUUUAAUGCGUUACUAGAUUCUCCUUGCUAAUAUUUUAUUUAGGAGUUUUGUGUUGAGUUUCACAAACACAACUGGUCUGUGGUUUGCUUUGCCAGCUUUGGGGUGAGUGCUACACUGGCUUUGUAAACUGAAUGUGGACAUUUUCCUCCUGGCUCUACACCGUGGGAGCUUAACUGGCAGGGGAGGUCUCUGGUCCUAAUGGCAGGACACACUUCACCUGUGGAACUUUCCAGAAGGUAUUUGAAGUAGGCUAGUAUUCCUGAAAUGUUCUCAACUUUUUAAAUGAUCAUUGACACGUCCGGAUAUUUGCCACUUCUUGAAUCAGUUUGUCAUUCAUAUUUCAGGUUGCCAGAUUUAGCAAAUAAAACUAAAAGAUGCCAAAUCAAAUCUAAAUUUCAGAUAAACAACAAUGUUUAUAGUAUAGGUAUGUCCCAAGUAUUGCAAUUCUGUUUAUGUUUUCCUAGAAAGUAAUUUAUUUUGUCAGGGUUUCCAAAUUUAUUUGAGUAAAGAUGAGUGAGCUUUUAUAACACUUUUAACUUCCACUCUCUCUUAGGUUAUUUCCCCAUUCUCAUUCCUUCUUUCCAUCUCUGACCUCUCCCCCGGUGAGCCUGGAGAUCUGCAGGCGAGUCCUCCUGGAUCUGAACCUCCCAAUUUUUAGGGUCAAGAUUCAGACCAAGUUGAUCCUUAUUCAGGUGUUUGUGGUUGUAGUUGACUCUAUCUUUGUCCAUUUUGGAAGAAAGAUUGUGCCUCUGCUCAAGGCAGGAGGUUUGGGUUCAAGGAUUUCUGUCCUCGCUCCUUUAGAGGGGGGGUUCUGUCCUGUCUUCACUGGGAUGUGCGUUCAAGGACGUUUCUUGGUGAGUGUUAUCGGAGCUGGAGUAGUCUUUUGUUUUAUUCCAGUGGCCACAUUCCCUUACAAUUUGAAAUUCAGCAGCUCCUGAUAACCAACGCAGGCCUCGUAGUUUCUCCUGUUGUCCAAAUAAGGGUGCUCUGAUUCGAAAGAUAAGAGACACUGCUCCUUCCGGCCCCUUUCAGGGUGUUUCUAGGUGAUUAGAAACCCAGCAGAAGUGCCGGGACUCCGUCUGUGACAUGCAGCGGUCUCAAAGGGCCUCCCGACAGAAGAACACACCCGCUCCCGGGUCAGAAGGAAUUCUGUAAGCUCGUCCGGGAGGCCGCCUGAAGGAUUGGGCAUCCAGUGCCUUGAGCAGCCUGACACCGCCUGGUGUCCAGGAAUCUCCCAGACACACACGAGAGAGACCAACAGCCCAUUGGUGACACCCUGGGAAGUGUCCUCACAAGCAGCACAUGCCCGAUCCAAGACAUAGACCCUCCUGCCGUGGUCAUCUGAGAACAGCCCCCUCUAAAUUAUGGGGAACAGUUGUUCCAGAACAACCAUAAGUGAUCAGCCUCCCUCAGGAACCGCAGCUGGAUUUAUAUUUAAGAACUAUGGUCCUUCCUCUGAUUUGAGAACUGCAGAGCAGAUUCAAUGCGCUCUUUUGUUUCUAAAGCGCCAAGCUCGCCACCUUCCAGAACACCUGCUUAAGAAACAAGAUCUCAGAAGCUGUAAAUUUUAACAAAAGGACAUGCAAGAUCUUACUAAGCUUGUUUCCUGUCCUGAGAGCUUGGCUUGGUGACCAUCAGAUUGGAGCCUGCAAUGUGGUCAGAAAGAAAUGCAGGCUGCGCUCCACUUGUGGCCAGAUGUGGCCGCAGAGAAAUGUGGGUUGAACCCCACUUCCAGCUAGAGUCCCACAGAAUUUCCACCAGCCUCAGGGGAGUUACGCUGAUCAUUACAAGGAGCAUUCCAAUUAGAUAAGAUCACUUAAGACAUGGGCUUAAAAGAAAAGUCUUCAAAAUUCCAAAAUAACCUUAUUGAAAGCUUUGUUGCAAAAAUAUAAUGAAAAUUUAAGAUAUAAGAAAUGCCUAAAAGAAAAAACUAUACAAAUUUUGUUAAGUUAAUGGCUUUACAGACACCCCUAUAUCUACCUUCAAAGGAGGGCCCCAUAUGAGCUCCUCUCAGAGUUAACAGAACUCUGAGAGAUUUUCUAGGAAAUUGCUUUUAUUCCCUCAAAUAGUCAAGGGGAAACUAAAAUUAAAAAUUAAUGAAAUUGAAGGUCAGCCCUGUGGCACAGUGGUUAAGUUCACACGUUCCACUUUGGCAGCCCGGGGUUCGCCAGUUCAGAUCCCAGGUGCAGACCUAUGCACCACUUGUCAAGCUGUGGCAGGCGUCCCAC
rnacentral:lncRNA from 1 species